rnacentral:rRNA from 1 species
UACAGAGGGGGCAAGCGUUGUUCGGAAUUACUGGGCGUAAAGGGCGCGUAGGCGGCCCGCUAAGUCGAACGUGAAAUCCCCGAGCUCAACUCGGGAACUGCGUCCGAUACUGGCGGGCUUGAAUCCGGAGAGGGAUGCGGAAUUCCAGGUGUAGCGGUGAAAUGCGUAGAUAUCUGGAGGAACACCGGUGGCGAAGGCGGCAUCCUGGACCGGUAUUGACGCUGAGGCGCGAAAAGCCAGGGGA